AGAGGCCAACAACCUCCACUGACCCAGGUGGCCAAUAUGGUACAGUCAGGACUCCCCAGCAGCGAGAAGCCCCGGGGGACGAAGGUGGAGGCACCAAGCCGUGUGGAUUUCAGAGCCAUCCGCGGCUGCCGGCUGUUGGGGCGGCCAGGAGUGGCCUGCCAGCAGAUGGCGCUGCGCCGCACGUUAUGGACCCUCGUGUGCCCGACCGGCUCAGGGAAGGAGACAGACGGCUCAAAGUUUCUAGUGCCAUUCCUGGACUGAAACAAAUGUUUGUGGAAUUAAGUAGUGAUUUCCUUUAGUGUGCGCCACUCUUACUGGCUGUGUUUUCAGGCCUAGAUGUUAACAUAUGCCACAUAUUACUUUUUUUUUUUUUUUUUUCCUGGUGAAGUCAGGGGUUUCCAAGCACUCAGCCUCAUCCUAAGUGUUCAUGUCAACUAGCAAAGGUCUGCAUUUUCUGAUAAAAUAACUUAUAAAACUUCCAUAUUAAGAGCUAAAAUGGUUUGGAAGACAAAGAAGUGCUGAGAAAUGUAAGUAAACAGAGCACCUAACAUUUUGUCUUUCUAAAUAAACAAACGGGGAGGGAGGUGUUCCUUUAUUAGGCUCAAAAAUUACUCAUGAGAGCGGCCAGGAGGAGAUUCAAGGCAUUCGGGAAAAAGUGUCUCUGGCUACUGGGGGGAAGGGGGUUGCAUUAUGUGAUUGCUGGAAACACUGAGGUGCAAUGAUCAUAAAUGUAGAAUCGUGGAGAAAAUUUAGGAUAUGCUCGGAACACCCAAGGCACAGCCAGAAGUCCCUGGGUUUUCAGAACCCAGUUAAACAACAAUGGGUUAAGGGUGAUAGGAAUUGCCAGUGCAAUUGCUUCACCAUGCCAAGUGGCUCCAUUAGUUAGGGUUCAGUAUGUAUUUAAUGUUGCCAUAAAAUCUGUCUUCUCAAAGUAAACAAGGCAAGUCUGUGAGCAUCUCCGACAAGAUGUAUGAAGCUUUGUUUGGGAUAAUGGAUUUGACAUGAGUAAAAACACUGGGGAUUAAAUGGACCCAGCACGGAUAAAUAUGACUAAUUGUCAUCUCCUCGUAUCAGCGUAAACAUCUCUAGCACCGCAUACUAGGGAGAGAUGGUGGAGCAAGGGGGUUUGGGGGCGAUUAGUCACUGCAGAAUUGAUUCACAACUGAUUGAUUAAGCAGGGAUGGAGGGGAACAUUGAGGCCUUUCCUUCCACAUGGAGGUGAAUGUCGCGUUUUAGAAUUUCCAAGCAUUUCUUGCUCAGAUUGAACUGUGAGUCACAGCCCUAAAGAGCAUAAUCUUCUCUCUUGAAAGCCACUCAAUGUGGGACUUGAGAUUCCUGCACAAAACCCAAUUAAUAUUAAGAUGACAAGCCCCGAUGAGCUCCCAAAGAGGCAACAGCUGAACAGACUCUAACAUUCUUAAGUACAGAUACUUGAGUGAUCAAGUACAUCUGAGGGAGACACACAAUUCAAUAAUCCCUUUCUCAAGAAAGUCAAGAGCCCUGUGAGAUGCGCGGGAAAUCAAAGGAACACAUCAGAAAGAAAAUGACGGGUCUGGUCCUGUAGCGUCUCUAUUAAAAUGCAAAAGUUAUGGAUUUUUUUCGGGGUGAUGGGAACCUUUUCUGUUUUCAUUGAUUUCUUUUUAUAGCUUGAUGAUUUCUCUAAGAUUAUCUUAAAAGCUUAAAGAAAAAAGGGGCCUCAUCAAAAGGUAUCUUACAUGACAGGAGCAUAGAUAGUUUUGGUUAACAUGAUGUGGCCAAGGCGCGGCGUAGUCCGGGGAGAAAGAGACCUCACUCAGGCCUCAGCCUGGGGAAAGUCUGCUGCCUCUACAGCAAAAUGAAAUUUUGCGGCCACAUUGGAGGCACUUGGAAAACCCAUCCUGCUGGGCCCUGGGCCUGUUAGGAGGGACUGAGUGGCAGGCUGGAGCUACCUGGGCCUUCCCCAGAGACCGAGUUCUGAAGAGCUGUAUUCGCAAAUGUAUUUCCAUUUUCAUUGUAUAAAGCAAUUGCCUUUCUGUGUUGACCCCCAAUUUCCUAGGCUCAUGAGUGACUCCUUGGAUUUACAGCUAAAUUCACUGUCCG
rnacentral:lncRNA from 10 species